GGGGUUGUGGCUCAGUGGUAGAGUGCUUGUCUCGCAUGUGUGAGGCACUGGGUUCGAUUCCCAGCACCA
rnacentral:tRNA from 1 species